rnacentral:lncRNA from 1 species
CUCAAACAAUGGCAACUUACUAUUUAGUCCUAUUCAAAAUCUGAUCAUUCUCGCUGAAGCCCUUCUGUAUGUCUGUUUGCGCUCAAAUUUGACAGUCAGGCUCUGUUUAAGCUAAUAAGAAGGAACAUAUCUUAACUUUUCAGUUUGGACCAUUUUUUGUCACCGAAAACUUUACCGACUAAAAUCUCUGGCAGAUAACAGUCGAAUUUUAUUUUUCACUUUUCGGGUGUCGGAAUGACAUUAAACUUUAAAUCUAGCCUCAUAAAAAUAUUUUCAACAUGUUCUCCAAUUUUCACAAUUUUUUGACACUGUGAAUUUUCUGCUAAAAUAUCAGCCCCGUUUCUCACAGAAAAUUCUAAAUCUUCUGUUUCCGUUCCGAUUUCAGCACAAGUCGCUUCUGACUUAUAUUUUACAUCUUUAAGUUAAAUAAAAAUAAUAUUUUAUACUAUUUUUAUUUACACUUACUUUUAUAUUAAAAUUUUGGUAUAUUACACUAA